UGUCAAAAUCCAACUGAUCCAUUCACUUCUCAGCUAUUCUCGGCGAAAAACAGAAAGAGACUUGAAGCGAACGAUCACAGCAAGCUAUAAAGCUCCAAUCUUGAGGGGAUUUAGCAUUUGUAAGAUUCGCGAAGGUGAAGGAUUCUAAUUAGGAUUUAUGCCGAUGGGAGAAGAAAGUCAAGUUGUAUGGCAGAACACUGAAUACAUUGGAACUGAAGCGCCUGAAUCUGAACUAUUUGAGAGAGAUAACAAGCUCGAAAGUAAUGAAAUAAUGAUUUCCUUUGAUGCUAUUCUCCCUGAUGAUAUGUGGGAGAAGAUUUUCUCCUUUCUACCCAUUGCAAGUAUAAUUAGAGGAGCAUCUGUGUGCAAACGUUGGUACGAAAUAGUGCAUUCAGGAAAGAAUUCAUGGUUGG